rnacentral:lncRNA from 1 species
AGAAGGCAUCCUGCAGAGAAGUAACAGCUACUUUAUUGGGUGAAAUAUUAAAGGUAGAAGGUUUUGUUAUUGAUUGAUAAAUACACUGGAGAUUUCACAACAUUUGACUUUCCCCUGCUCAGUAUCGACUUUCAUUUUCUUGUUAUGAUAACAGGUCAGCUUUUCACUGAAAUGGAAAAUUAUCUUCUGAUGGUGUUGGCAAAGGCAAGAUUGACAGGAAGACAAAUUAGGCAAUGGGCAUGAACCAUAAAUAUUGUUACAGGCUUAUUUCAACUAAUUUCAGAGCGCAGUCCUACCUCCUGCAGAGAAUAUACUCGGGAUUAUCUACCCUGAAAUGAAAGUGUGUUGACCUGGGGAAGACAUUUUACUAAAUAACAGCAGUUGUUAUUUGAAGGGACCUGCAUGUUGUUAGACACAGAAGAGAAGCAAUUUGAACACGGGGAAAGCGUGUUCUCUCUUCAAUCUGCACUGGUUGAAGCAAUCACGAAUAUACUCCAGACUUCAUUGCAGUGGUAUCCAAAAUGUGCUGUCAUUAGAAGUUAAGCUGUGCUUUCCCAUUUAAAUAAAAUAUAACCUGCAUUUCA